UCUCCGUAGGUGAACCUGCGGAGGGAUCAUUACCGAGCUCAUGCCCUUACGGGUAGAUCUCCCACCCUGUGUUAUUAUUACCUUUGUUGCUUUGGCGGGCCGCCAGGCUCCGGUCAGGCUAUCGGCUUCGGCUGGUAAGCGCCCGCCAGAGGACCCUAUAUCCUGAUUAUUAGUGUCGUCUGAGUACUAUAUAAUAGCUAAAACUUUCAACAACGGAUCUCUUGGUUCUG
rnacentral:misc_RNA from 1 species